UCCCGUAUGUGAGACGCUGCUGAGAGGUCCAGUCAUAUGAAGAAGGAGCCCAAAGUGUCCAGUGUGUUUGGCAACAUGGAGGUCACCGGUAUCUUUUACAAGAAGUUUUGGUGGAGUAACAAGGUCAGAAAGUCAUAUGAUGGAUUCCUUGCUACCUCUCCUGGUCUGAGCUGUAUUUCCCACCAAUAUCUUCAAUGAUUAUCCCUGCAGCAAUGUUAGAAUAAAUAAAAUAGCAAACAGUUUAAAUACCUGAAGACUCAAGACUGCAAAGCCAGUGUAUUUUCUACACAGACAAACCUACUGAAGGCUUGUUUGAUGAGCCCAGAUUCAGAACAAGUGGAGUUAUGCUAGGGCUUGUUCUCAAUUCAUCUAUCUCCAUGACAGGAUGAUUUUGUCCCAAAGAUGGAAGGACUCAGUUUCAAUGGUUGCAACUUUCUACACUGAUCUCGGAUACAGCAGGGACAUCCUGCCACGCUAUUGAUUGAGCUGCUUCUCUCCUUGACAGCGCUCAGAUGGGCACUGAGGUGCUCCUGUCUGCGCCUUUCCCAGUUUCCAUGGCUACCCAAACCUCUUAGCAAACUUGUUUCAAUAACAACGAAGUUACAGUCAGGUCAGGCCAGAUUGUGUUUUAAAGGUGACUUUGCUUGCUUCUGGUCUUAUCCAUUGUGGGUAAUGUUAAAGUUUAGCUCUCAGAGAGCAGUUUUAUUUCCCUCAUUUCCAGGAUCUCGGGGAAAACUGGACUGAAAUCUCAGGGAUUGGUCCAAUGUCUGGAGCCAAAUAAUAUUCUUUUAAAAUUUAUUUUGUUUUUUAUUAUUCGAACCUUUGCUAACACCCCUUCCACAUAGGUAAAUUUGUCAUAAUGGAAAUGUUCUCAUGACACAGUGAAUGAAAGCUUGUCAUUCAAUUUCCAGUUCUGCUUUUUUUAAAAAUUAAUUUUAGGGUUACAUUAUCAAAUUGCCAGUUGGUGAUAUGCAGUUGGGCAAACUGUUUCUUAUUGAAAAAGACUGAC